ACAUGUCUUUAUUUAUUUUUGUCGACAGUAUAAAAUUACAUAAAUAAUUUUAAAAAAGUUUACUAUAAUAUUUUAGUUUUACAAACGUCAUAUUAUACAGUCGUGUGACUGAUAUUAUGUCACUUCCGUUAUAUAUUUUUCUUACGGUUUAGUCUCACAUUUUUUUCAGUUCGAUCACCCAGCCAAAUGUCAAGCCUGCCGUAAGGAACUUCGUUCCAAAAA
rnacentral:misc_RNA from 1 species